rnacentral:rRNA from 1 species
AACGAACGCUGGCGGCAUGCCUAACACAUGCAAGUCGAACGAGACCUUCGGGUCUAGUGGCGCACGGGUGCGUAACGCGUGGGAUCCUGCCCUUAUGUUCGGCAUAACUCUCCGAAAGGGGUGCUAAUACCGGAUAAUGUCUUCGGCCCAAAGAUUUAUUGCCUUUGGAUGGGCGCGCGUUGAAUUCGCUCGUGGUGAGGGUAAAAGCCUAACACGGCGUCGAUCAAUAGCUGGUCUGAGAGGAUGAUCAGCCACACUGGGACUGAGAAACGGCCCAGAAUCCUACGGGAGGCAGCAGUGGGGAAUAUUGGACAGUGGGCGAAAGCCUGAUCGAGCAAUGCCGCGUGAGUGAUGAAGGCCUUAGGGUUGUAAAGCUCUUUUAACCGGGAUGAUAAUGACAGUACCGGGAGAAUAAGCUCCGGCUAACUACGUG